AUAAUGUUGAAAUGUCUGCGAUGGA
rnacentral:piRNA from 1 species